rnacentral:rRNA from 1 species
CCUACGGGAGGCUGCAGUCGAGAAUCAUUCACAAUGGGGGAAACCCUGAUGGUGCGACGCCGCGUGGGGGAAUGAAGGUCUUCGGAUUGUAAACCCCUGUCAUGUGGGAGCAAAUUAAAAAGAUAGUACCACAAGAGGAAGAGACGGCUAACUCUGUGCCAGCAGCCGCGGUAAUACAGAGGUCUCAAGCGUUGUUCGGAAUCACUGGGCGUAAAGCGUGCGUAGGCUGUUUCGUAAGUCGUGUGUGAAAGGCGCGGGCUCAACCCGCGGACGGCACAUGAUACUGCGAGACUAGAGUAAGGGAGGGGGAACCGGAAUUCUCGGUGUAGCAGUGAAAUGCGUAGAUAUCGAGAGGAACACUCGUGGCGAAGGCGAGUUCCUGGACAUUAACUGACGCUGAGGCACGAAGGCCAGGGGAGCGAAAGGGAUUAGAUACCCCAGUAGUC